rnacentral:rRNA from 1 species
GACGGAAGGCCCUGCUUUUGUGGGGUGCUCGAGUGGCGAACGGGUGAGCUAACACGUGAGUAACCUGCCCUUGACUUUGGGAUAACUUCAGGAAACUGGGGCUAAUACCGGAUAGGAGCUCCUGCUGCAUGGUGGGGGUUGGAAAGUUUCGGCGGUUGGGGAUGGACUCGCGGCUUAUCAGCUUGUUGGUGGGGUAGUGGCUUACCAAGGCUUUGACGGGUAGCCGGCCUGAGAGGGUGACCGGCCACAUUGGGACUGAGAUACGGCCCAGACUCCUACGGGAGGCAGCAGUGGGGAAUAUUGCACAAUGGGCGGAAGCCUGAUGCAGCAACGCCGCGUGCGGGAUGACGGCCUUCGGGUUGUAAACCGCUUUCGCCUGUGACGAAGCGUGAGUGACGGUAAUGGGUAAAGAAGCACCGGCUAACUACGUGCCAGCAGCCGCGGUGAUACGUAGGGUGCGAGCGUUGUCCGGAUUUAUUGGGCGUAAAGGGCUCGUAGGUGGUUGAUCGCGUCGGAAGUGUAAUCUUGGGGCUUAACCCUGAGCGUGCUUUCGAUACGGGUUGACUUGAGGAAGGUAGGGGAGAAUGGAAUUCCUGGUGGAGCGGUGGAAUGCGCAGAUAUCAGAGGAACACCAGUGGCGAAGGCGGUUCUCUGGGCCUUUCCUGACGCUGAGGAGCGAAAGCGUGGGGAGCGAACAGGCUUAGAUACCCUGGUAGUCCACGCUGUAAACGGUGGGUACUAGUGUGGGGUCCAUUCCACGGGUUCCGUGCCGUAGCUAACGCUUUUAAGUACCCCGCCUGGGGGAGUACGGCCCGCCAAGGCCUAAAACUCAAAGG